rnacentral:ncRNA from 1 species
AAUAGAGGCGCGGCCGACAUCAGUACCGCGUGGGAGCCCUUCACCGGGCUGUGACCGCGCGCGAAAGGGGAGGCCGCCGAAGUGCCAGACCCGGUGAAGGGUCUGUGUGCUGGGCGUCGGGAAAACAUCCCGCCGACUGUCACGGCUUGUGCCGUGGAGCGCUAUUC